rnacentral:lncRNA from 10 species
UCUUCACCCAGUCAGCAGCACCUAUUCUCUAGUUCCUUGCCUAUCUGCUGUCCUUGAAAAACCUUAAGCUCGACACCUUCAGAAAGAACCCCCUCACCUUCACAAGAGCAGCAGUUACAAGUUGAUUUCUGUCUAGAAGGAGCCAUUAGAAUGAAAGCUCAGCUUCCCAAUUAUCAGGCCUUUGAGCUCAAGCCUGCACGAUAUACGUCCAGAUGGCCUGAAACAACUGAAGGAUCACAAAAGAAGUGAAAAUGGCCAGUUCUUGUCUUCACUGAUGACAUUACCUUGUGAAAUUCCUUCUCCUGGCUCAGAGGCUACCCCACUGAGCACCUUGUGAUCCCCAUCCCUGCCCACCUGAGAACAACCCCCUUUGACUGUAAUUUUUCACUACCUACUCAAAUCCUAUAAAACGGCCCCACCCCUGUCUCCCUUUGCUGUCUCUCUUUUUGGUCUCAGUCCACUUGCACCCUGGUGAUUAAAAAGCUUUAUUGCUCAUACAAAGCCUGUUUGGUGGUCUCUUCACAUGCACACGUAUGACAUUUGGUGCUGAAGACCUGGGACAGGAGGACUCCUUCAGGAGACAGGUCCCCUGUCCUCGCCCUCACUCUGUGAGGAGAUGAGGAGAUCCACCUAUGACCUCAGGUCCUCAGACCAACCAGCCCAAGGAACAUCUCACCAAUUUCAAAUUGGGUAAGCGGUCUUUUCAAUCUCUUCUCCAGCCUCUCUUGCUAUGCUUCAAUCUCCCUGUCCUUCCAAUUCCAGUUCCUUUUCCUCUCUAGUAGAGACAAAGGAGAUACAUUUUAUCUGUGGACCCAAAACUCCUGCGGCGGUCACGGACUCAGGAAGACAGUCUUCCAUUGGUGUUUAAUUACUGCGGGGAUGCCUGCCUGAUUAUUCACCCACAUUUCAUUGGUGUCUGAUCACCGCAGAGGUGCCUGCCUUGGUCAUUCACCCACAUUCUCUUGGUGGCAAGUCAAAUGUGGGGACACUUGCUUUGGCUGCUCACCCACAUUGCAGCCCAGGGCUGCUCACCACCCCCUUCUCCGUGUCUCUACCUUUCUCUUUAAACUUACCUUCUUCACUGUGGGCAAACUUCCACCCUCCAUUCCCCCUUCUUCUCCCUUAGCCUGUGUUCUCAAGAACUUAAAACCUCUUCAACUCACACCUGACCUAAAACCUAACCACCUUAUUUUCUUCUGCAAUACUGUUGGCCCCAAUACAAACUCAACAGUAAUUCCAAGCAGCCAGAGAGUGGAACUUUCAAUUUCUCCAUCCUACAAGAUCUAGAUAAUUUUUGUCAAAAAAUGGGCAAAUGAUCUGGGAUGCCUGAUGUCCAGGCAUUCUUUUACACAUUGGUCCCUCCCUAGUCUCUGCUCCCAAUGUGGCUCAUCCCAAAUCUUUCUUCUUUCUCUCCUGUCUGUUCCUUCAGUCUCCACCACAGGCUCUGAGUACUUCGAAUCCCCCUUUUCUAUGGACCCAUCUGACCUCUCCCCUCCUUCUUAGGCUGCUCCUUGCUAGGGUGAACCAGGUCCCAAUUCUUCCUCAGCUUCUGCUCCCCCACCCUAUGAUCCUUCUGUCACCUCCCUUCUUCACACCUGGUCUGACUUACAGUUUUGUUCCAUGACUAGCCCUCCCCCACCUGCCCCAAAAUUUCCUCUUAGAAAAGUGGAUGGAGUUAAAGGCAUAGUCAAGGUUAAUGCUACUUUUUCUUUAUCCUACCUCUCCCAAAUCAGUUAGCGUUUAGGCUCUUUUUCAUCAAAUAUAAAAAACCAGCCCAGUUCAUGGCCUGUUUGGCAACAACCCUUAGACACUUUAAUACCCUAGAUCCAGAAGGGCUGGAAGGCCGUCUUAUUCUCAAUAUGCAUUUUACUACCCAAUCCGCUCCUGACAUUUAAAAAAAGCUCCAAAAAUUAGAUUCCAGCCCUCAAACCCCACAACAGGACUUAAUUAACCUCGUCUUCAAGGUAUACAAUAAUAAAGAAGAGGCAGCCAAGUGGCAACCUAUUUCUGAGUUGCAAUUACUUGCCUCCUCUAUGAGAAAAACCCCAGCCACAUCUCCAGCACAAAAGAACUUCAAAACACCUAAACUGCAGCAGCCAGGCAUUCCUCCAGGACCUCCUCCCCCAGGAUCUUGCUUCAAGUGCUGGAAAUCUGGCCACUGGGCCAAGGAAUGCCCCCAGCCCAGGAUUCCUCCUAAGCUGUGUCCCUUCUGUGGAGGACCCCACUGGAAAUUGGACUGUCCAACUCGCCCAGCAGCCACUCCCAGAGCCUGUAGAACUCUGGCCCAAGACUCUCUGACUGACUCCUUCCCAGAACUUCUCGGCUUAGUGGCUGAAAACUGACGCUGCCCGAUUGCCUCAGAAGCCUCCUGAACCAUCACAGACACUUUGAGUAACUCUUACAGUGUGGGGUAAGUCCUCCCCCUUCUUAAUCAAUACGGAGGCUACCCACUCCACAUUACCUUUUUUUCAAUGGCCUGUUUCCCUUGCCUCCAUAACUGUUGUGGGUACUGACAACCAGGCUUCUAAACCCCUUAAAACUCCCCAACUCUGGUGCCAACUUGGACAACAUUCUUUUAUGCACUCCUUUUUAGUUAUCCCCACCUGCCCAGCUCCCUUAUUAGGUCAAGACAUUUUAACUACAUUAUCUGCUUCCCUGACUAUUCCUAGGCUACAGCCACACCUCACUGCCACUGCUUUAAUACUUUUAGAGGCCCUCAAAAUCACAAACUAUGCUCCACUUACUUUCUACAUUCCCAUAACUUUCAAAAUCUAUUUUCCUCCUCACACUUGAUGCAUAUACUUUCUGUCCCUCCUUCAGCUGUACUCACUCUUUGUUGAGUCUCCCACAAUUACCAUUGUUCCUGGCCCUGACUUCAAUCUUGCCUCCCACAUUAUUACUGGUACCACACCUGACCCCCAUGACUGUAUCUCUCUGAUCCACCUGACAUUCACUCAGUUUCCCUAUAUUUCCUUCUUUCCUGUUCCUCACCCUGAUCACAUUUGGUUUAUUGAUGGCAGUUCCACCAGGCCUAAUUGUCACUCACCAGCAAAGGCAGGCUAUGCUAUAGUAUCUUCCACAUCUAUCCUUAAUGGUACCACUCUGCCCCACUUCACUACCUCUCAGCAAGCCGAACUCAUUGGUGUAACUCAAGCCCUCACUCCUGCAAAGGGACUAUAUGUCAACAUUCCUACUGACUCUAAAUAUGCCUUCCAUAUCCUGCACCUUCAUGCUGUUAUAUGGGCAGAAAAACAUUUCCUCACUGCGCAAGUGUCCUCCAUCAUUAACGCCUCCUUAAUAAAAACUCUUCUUAAAGCCGCUUUACUUCCAAAAAAGCUGGAGUCAUUCAUUGCAAAGGCCAUCAAGGGGCCUCAGACUCCAUUGCUCAAGGCAACAAUUAUGCUGAUAAGACAGCUAAAAAGCAGCCAGUAUUCCUACUUCUGUCCCUCAUGGCCAGUUUAUCUCCUUCUCAUCUUUUCACUUUACAUUUACAGUCUUGCCUUAUAAAACGUCUCUUCUUCCUCUGGCUCCUCCACCUACAGGUGUCUACCUGCUAAUUGGACAGGCACAUGCACACUAGUUUUACUUACUCCCAAAAUUCAAUUUGCAAGUAGGACCAAACAGCUUCCCAUUCCCCUCAUGACACCAACACUUCACCACUAUUUUAUUUUAUUUUUCUUAUUAAUAUAAGAAGACAGGAAUAGGCCUCAACUUACUCACUGCUGAAAAAGGAGGACUCUGUAUAUUUUUAAAUGAAGAGUGGUGUUUUUAUCUAAAUCAAUCUGGCCUAGUAUAUGAUGACAUAAAAAAAAAGACCCUCAAGAAUAGACCCCAAAAACUUGCCAACCAAGCAAAUAAUCAUGCUGAACCCCUUUGGGCACUCUCUAAUUAGAUGCCCUGGGUCCUCCCAAUUCUUAGUCCUUUAACACCUGUUUUUCUCCUUCUCUUAUUCAGACCUUGUGUCUUCCAUUUAGUUUCUCAAUUCAUACAAAACCACAUCCAGGCCAUCACCAAUCAUUCUAUAUGACAAAUGCUUCUUCUGACAUCCCCACAAUAUUGCCCCUUACCACAAAAUCUUCCUUCCCUUCAGCUUAACCUCUCCCACUCGAGGUUUCCAUGCCACCCCAAUCCUGCUCGAAGCAGCCCUGAAAAACAUCACCCAUUAUCUCUCCAUACCACCCCCCAAAAUUUUUGCCACCCCAACACUUCGCCACUGUCUUGUUUUGUUUUUCUUAUUAAUACAAGAAGACAGUAAUGUCAGGCCUCUGAGCCUAAGCCUGCAGGUACACAUCCAGGUGGCCUGAAGCAACUGAAAAAUCGCAAAAGAAGUGAAAAUCAGUUCCUGCCUUAACUGAUGACAUUACCUUGUGAAAUUCCUUCUCCUGGCUCAGAAGCUCCCCCACUGAGCACCCCUUGUGACCCCUGCCCCUGCCCACAAGAGAACAACCCCCUUUGACUGUAAUUUUCCACUACCUCCCCAAAUCCUAUAAAACUGCCCUACCCUUACCUUCCUCUGCUGACUCUCUUUUCAGACUCAGCCUGCCUGCACCCAGGUGAUUAAAAAGCUUUAUUGCUUACACAAAGCCUGUUUGGUGGUCUCUUCACGUGGACACACGUGACACCAAUGAGUUACAGAAGCGUGUACACCAUUUCAAGGUUACAGAAAUAAUGCGGGUUGGAUUCUGCUAACACAGGUUAUGGGAUUGGGAAAAAGAGAAAUUCUAUUGAGGGGCAAUAAAUGAUUGCUGGGGAGAAUGAUUGGAUCUUGGAACAGAGAUUAACCUGUUAGUAGUUUCUUUGGAAUUUAAAUGCUCCUUGGAGAUGUCUAUGAAAAGAGUUGAACUCUAAAAUAUGUGAAGAGAUUUAUUCUGAGCCAAAUAUGAGUGACCAUGGCCUGUGAUACAGCCCUCAGGAAGUCCUGAGAACAUGUGCCCAAGGUGGUCAGGGCACAGGUUAGUUUUAUACAUUUUAGAGACCAUGAGACAUCAAUCAAAUACAUUAAAGAAAUACAUUGAUUAAGAAAUACAUCCAUCAAAUACAUUUAAGAAACACAUUGAUUUAGAAAAGCAGAACAACUCAAACUGGAGGGGCUUUCAGGCUACAGGUGAAUUUAAGUAUUUUCUGGUUGACAAUUGGUUGAUUUUGUCUAAAGACCUGAUAUCAAUAGAACGGGAAUGUUCAGGUUAAGGUAAAGAUUGUAGAGACCACAGUUCUUUUGAAGUCUUAUAGUGGCUGCCCUUACAGAAGAUAGGUGACAAAUGUUUCCUAUUCAGAUCUUACCUGUUUAGGAUUGGGAGGGUCUGGAAGAAAAAGAUCUAGUUAUGUUAGUGGACAUCCUUUACAGAUGUAAAUUUUCCCCCCACAAAGAACAGCUUUGCAGGGCCAUUUCAAAAUAUGGCAAAUAAACAUAUUUUGGGGUAAAAUAUUUUUAUUUUCUUUUUUGUCUCAUAAUGUUAUGCCAGAGUCAGGUUGGAAAGUAUAUCAUGAUAUAGGGUUAAAUAAAACUCAUCUGAUGAGAAUUUAUGAUUUGUAGGUCCCCAGACCCCUUAGGAAUAUGGGCAAGAUUAAAAAAUCAGAGUUUAGUCCUCAGAGAUAGUUAUUGUAACUCCUAAAAAUGUCUGCUUAGGUGUGGUCACAUGUUGAUCUUUUUUACUGCAAUAUAUAAUGAAAUAACAGUGAGGUAAAGAAAUAACAAUUUUUCUUUUUGGUGGUUUUGUAUCUUAGGCAGAUAAAGGGAAUUCAGCCUCUUUGAGAGAGAUGGUGUGGAUGUAGGGGAAGGUCAGAGAGACCUUGAGACUUCUACUAGUCACCAUGUCAAAACCCCAUAUUUUCAGCAUUGAUUUCUGAGCCGUGGCACUAAUUUAUACCUGAUUAAUGAUAUUUAUUUAUUUAUUUAUUUAUUUAUUUAUUUAUUUAUGUGACGGAGUCUCACUCUGUCACCCAGGCUGGAGUGCAGUGGUGAGAUCUUGGCUCACUGAAACCUCUGCCUCCCAGGUUCAAGCAGUUCUUCUGCCUCAGCCUCCUGAGUAGCUGGGAUUACAGGCAUGUGCCACCACCCCUGGCUAGUUUUCGUAUUUUUAGUAGAGACAGGGUUUCAUCAUGUUGGUCAGGCUGGUCUCAAACUCCUCACCUCAUGAUCCACCCACCUUGGCCUCCCAAAGUGCUGGGAUUACAAGCAUGAGCCACUGCGCCCGGCUAAGAUGAUAUUUAAAUAAGACUUUGGACUUCAGACUUUUGAGUGUAUGCAAGAGUGAAUUAGCACUGUUGGCACCAUUGAGAUGGAAUAAAUGUAGUUUGCAUGCAAGAAGGACAUGAAUUUGGUGGGAUUGGAGGUAGAAUGUCAUGGUCUGAAUG